GUCUAUGGCCAUGCCACCCUGAACACGCCUGAUCUCAGAAGCUAAGCAGGGUCAGGCCCGGUUAGUACUUGGAUGGGAGACCACCUAAGAAGACCAGGUGCUGUAGGCA
rnacentral:rRNA from 1 species